GUUCAACGGUAAAGGUAGUACAAUGUGAGAUGUGUGGUAGGCAUACAUCACGUGUUCGAGACAUGCUGAGGACUGAGGAUCCAAAUCUAGUAUUUAAGUUGAGAAGGAUGGAAGAACGGGCCAGUAAUCCACCAAGUUUCGGAGCUGGAGACAGCGGAUUUCUCAGCUAUCAGAAAGAAAAAAUGUAGUCAUUUAUCAGCCUUGAGCUUUGGUUCAACGGUAAAGGUAGUACAAUGUGAGAUGUGUGGUAGGCAUACAUCACGUGUUCGAGACAUGCUGAGGACUGAGGAUCCAAAUCUAGUAUUUAAGUUGAGAAGGAUGGAAGAACGGGCCAGUAAUCCACCAAGUUUCGGAGCUGGAGACAGCGGAUUUCUCAGCUAUCAGAAAGAAAAAAUGUAGUCAUUUAUCAGCCUUGAGCUUUGGUUCAACGGUAAAGGUAGUACAGCGUGAGAUGUGUGGUAGGUGUAUGUACAUCACGAGUGCGAGUCUUGCUGGGGAGCCAAAGCAUAGUAUUUAAGUUGAGAAGGAUAGAGGGGUGGGAUGGUAAUCUACAAAGUCUCCCCGAGCUGGACACAGCUGAUUUUCUUUUUAAAAAGAACAAAUGUGACUAGUCAUAAAUCAAUAUAUCAAUCAGCAUGUUCUCCAGCAGAAUGACAUCACUGACUUGACUGCAGACAUCACAAAGCUCUCAAUGGACUGAAGCAAGCUGUCUGAGCUUUUUCACUCGUUCCAGAACUAUAUUGGAAGUUGUUGCAUAUCGUAGCAAAGCUUCCCAAGAUUGAAGAUUUGGGGAGUAAGACAUCAGUUCUUGAUGGUGAGUGGUGAACUGGUAAAUGAUGUACAUCUCUGUUUGAUUUUCUCGUGUUGUUGAUCAGUGAGUGAACGGUUAUCUCCUUACAUGGUCUUGGACAAUGCUCACUUCAUCAGGUAAUUUUUGAGGUUGAGCUAAGGCCCGAGGUUCAUUUUCUUAAUAGUUUCAAAGUGAAGUAUCCCCGUCGAUCUUGGGAGGAAGGCAAUUCUAAUGGUGAAAUGGAAAGUGGACAUUCUUUUGUGUGGAGAAGUUGGCAAUGCACACUGUACAGUUCUCUAACAGUAUGUCUAGGAAGUUAGUAAGUGGGCGGGAUAACUUCCGGACAAUGGUGGAGGUAGGAUUUUCACUAAGAGCCCCUUCUGCGGUUCUGCCCCGCUAGCUUGGCCUCAGCUUCCAAGGUGUGUGAAAAGUAAAAAUUCCCUAGAGAUGACAUAUGCUUCUAUUUAAACAAUUUUCUGCUAUAUUAGUUUUGUUUUUGAACUAUUUGUGUUUUGUGUUUCCACUCUCGAUUCAAUUAAUUUAUUAAUUAUUUUUUGCCACCA